UUCACUGUUUUUUCUUUUUUUUCCGUCAUCAAUUCAAUAUUAAGUUUAAAACAUAUUUAGAUCACAUUGACUUAAAUAAUCAAUCUUAUUUCUCUCAACCACUUUGAACGUCUCUUUUCUCUUUCUCUAUUCAUCUUUUUUUCCACAUUCUCUUUUCCUCUAUGUUUCUUUAUUAUUUAUUUUAUUUCAAUUUAUGACUCACUCUUUCUAUCAUAUCGUCCUUGAUGUUUUA
rnacentral:lncRNA from 1 species